rnacentral:rRNA from 1 species
AUUGAACGCUGGCGGCAGGCCUAACACAUGCAAGUCGAACGAGUGGCGGACGGGUGAGUAAUGUCUGGGAAACUGCCUGAUGGAGGGGGAUAACUACUGGAAACGGUAGCUAAUACCGCAUACCAUCAGAUGUGCCGAGAUGGGAUUAGCUGGUUGGUGGGGUAACGGCUCACCAAGGCGACGAUCCCUAGCUGGUCUGAGAGGAUGACCAGCCACACUGGAACUGAGACACGGUCCAGACUCCUACGGGAGGCAGCAGUGGGGAAUAUUGGACAAUGGGGGAAACCCUGAUGCAGCCAUCCCGCGUGUAUGAUGAAGGCCUUCGGGUUGUAAAGUACUUUCGGCGGGGAAGCGUUACCUGCAGAAGAAGCACCGGCUAACUCCGUGCCAGCAGCCGCGGUAAUUC